UCUUGAAUGAAGGAUAUUCCAUGACACCUCUGUCUUUUGUCUCGUAGAUGGUAGAAAGACUUUGGGGUUGGCAGGUGGUGAGUCAUUCAUAAAAGGAUAUCCAUUCUGCAAAGGUCCAUCUGUUUCCAUCUGGAAGAUCUUCUGACAGAAUGAGCCUUGUGGAACGGCAGCAACAGUGAAGCUGGCAGACAUUGGGACCCAUACAGUUGCAGAAGACAAAUGUCCAUUCAAGUUGAGGGAUCUGUUAAGAGACUAUUCAUACCAUCUUCAUUGGAUUUUCUUCAGGUCUGGGACCCGUGCUCCAAUUCCAUAUCUAGCUCACGUCAUUGAGCUGAAAAGCAAAUAACUACCGAUGCUGGAAUGCUGAAAUUAAAAGAAAAACUGCUGGAGAUAUUCAGCUGCUCAGGCAGCAAGCUCCUGCUUAACCUCA